UACGAAGGGGGCUAGCGUUGCUCGGAAUCACUGGGCGUAAAGGGCGCGUAGGCGGCGUUUUAAGUCGGGGGUGAAGACGCUGUGGCUCAACCACAGAAUGGCCUCGAUACUGGGACGCUUGAGUAUGGUAGAGGUUGGUGGAACUGCGAGUGUAGAGGUGAAAUUCGUAGAUAUUCGCAAGAACACCGGUGGCGAAGGCGGCCAACUGGACCAUUACUGACGCUGAGGCGCGAAAGCGUGGGGAGCAAACAGG
rnacentral:rRNA from 1 species